UCCCCAUUUUUCUUUAACCCUAGCCCUCAAUCUGUCACGAAUUCUUCUCCUCUCCUUUUUCUUUCGCUAUUUUGAAUCUAUUUUGAAUCGGAAUCAUCUAUCUAUAACAUGUUUCUUCAAUCAGUAUUACUUCCUUCGUUUUAUGUUAUUCACAGAUCCCAGGCAGAACAUCAUCUUCGUUGGGGAAUAAUUAUUGUGUUGUUUUCGAUGUCGAUGACUAAAUACGUUUGCUGUUUCUUCCGAAUCCGAACAAGAUUAUCAUGUUCAAUCGCCCUACAUCAGAAGAAAAGGGGUUUUCAAAUGCUACUUUAGGUUUCUUCUCACUUUGAUUUUUUGGAUUAUGCCAGUCGAAUGAUCUACAUUGCUUCUGUCACUCCACGUUGCCCAUAUUUGAUGUUUUUGUUGGGUUCUUCUCAAAAGUUACAAAGAUGCUUACAUUCUUUAGUACAGUGCUUCACUUUGAUUUUUUGGAUUAUGCCUGUCGAAUGAUCUACAUUGCUUCUGUCACUCCACGUUGCCCAUAUUUGAUGUUUUUGUUGGGUUCUUCUCAAAAGUUACAAAGAUGCUUACAUUCUUUAGUACAGUGCUUCACUUUGAUUUUUUGGAUUAUGCCUGUCGAAUGAUCUACAUUGCUUCUGUCACUCCACGUUGCCCAUAUUUGAUGUUUUUGUUGGGUUCUUCUCAAAAGUUACAAAGAUGCUUACAUUCUUUAGUACAGUGCUUCACUUUGAUUUUUUGGAUUAUGCAUGUCGAAUGAUCUACAUUGCUUCUGUCACUGCACGUUGCCCAUGUAAGUUUACCUUUCUUUCAAUAUAGACAUGUAUUUUUUUGGAUAAUCACUUUGUAUUUUUUGUUUAAAGAUUUGAUGUUUUUGUUGGGUUCUUCUCAAAAGUUACAAAGAUGCUUACAUUCUUUCGUACAGUGGUAAGUUUUCCAUACUUUUUAUUGAUUAUUGUACUUUCAAUUUGGGUUAUUUGUUCUUACAAAUUACUAGGUCAAAUUUGAGCUUUUGUUUAGGAUAUUGAUGGUUUUAUAGCUGGGAUAGUUAUUAUUUUGGUGUCUUACUUGAAUGGCUCUUUCUUUAUUUGUUCUAAGUUUUUUAAUUUCAUGAAUGGUUUUACUUUUGAAAUCAUAAAUAUGACAAAGGUCUUAGCAAUCAGUUGAAUGCUUUAACGGUUCGGUUCACGGUUUGGUUUUGGCGGUUUGCGGGUUUAAUGGUUGGGUUGGUCAAAACCAGCUGAACUGGACCAUGAACAAUGUAUAGUUGAUUCGCAUUGAAUAGUUUCCCAUGAUAAUUAAAAAAUAUCGUUGAUCAUCUCAUUUUACAACUUCACUUUGAUUUUUUGGAUUAUGCAUGUCGAAUGAUCUACAUUGCUUCUGUCACUGCACGUUGCCCAUGUAAGUUUACCUUUCUUUCAAUAUAGACAUGUAUUUUUUUGGAUAAUCACUUUGUGUUUUUUGUUUAAACAUUUGAUGUUUUUGUUGGGUUCUUCUCAAAAGUUACAAAGAUGCUUACAUUCUUUAGUACAGUGGUACGUUUUCCAUACUUUUUAUUGAUUAUUGUACUUUCAAUUUGGGUUAUUUGUUCUUACAAAUUACUAGGUCAAAUUUGAGCUUUUGUUUAGGAUAUUGAUGGUUUUAUAGCUGGGGUAGUUAUUAUUUUCGUGUCUUACUUGAAUGGCUCUUUCUUUAUCUGUUCUAAGUUUUUUAAUUUCAUGAAUGGUUUUACCUUUGAAAUCCUAAAUAUGACAAAGGUUUUAGCAACCAGUUGAAUGCUUUAACGGUUCGGUUCACGGUUUGGUUUUUGCGGUUUGCGGGUUUAAUGGUUGGGUUGGUCAAAACCAGUUGAACUAGACCAUGAACAAUGUGUAUUUGAUUCGCAUUGAAUAGUUUCACAUCAUAAUUAAAAAAUAUCGUUGAUCAUCUCAUUUUACAACUUUAAGUGAAACCCUGAGAGCUGAAGUGCAGCGGCUGAAAAUCGAGAUGGGUCAAACGCGACCACAUAAUCAAGACGGUGGUGACAACCCAUGUAUAAUUAAGAUUACUGAUUUAUUUCAUUUCUACUAAUUAGUAUGGUCGCUUCAAUUGCCAACAAGAAUAACUAUUUGCGUAGGGUACAAUUUUCGCUAUAUAGAUGGCCCACUGAUUGUUCCUUUUAAUAUUUCUAAUUCUAUGUUAUCACAAACAUCAUUCUACAGCUGAUACAAUAAUUUUAUGUCGUUUAUUUGUGUCACAACACUUUUUGCUAAAAAAGUAAGGUGUGUUCGUUCAUAUUCUUGAAUUGUUUACCACAAAUUAAGUUGGGGAUCACAAAUGACGUUAUCAAACAACGAUCAGAUAUGAUUCGAUCUCUACUUGGUGUUGCAAGCAUAUCAAGGUAUGUCGUUCAUGACUACAUUUUCUUUUAUUUAUUGGCUGGCGUUUUAGCAUGGAAGGACCCGCAAGUGUUGGUACGAUCUCUUCAAAUCGCAUAGAUAUUGGUUGUACAUUAGCCCUGUCAUGUUAGAAGUGUAUCUUAUUAUAUUGACUUCUUGGUUUGUAUCUCAGUGUGUGCGCUAUCUACUGCUGCAAACAUGUGCAAGAAACUUCCAUCUGAUGCUACUGAUUUUGUUAUGGAUGCUAUUCGUUUAUUGACUAAUCUUUUUCAAUACCAUUACCAUGAUGCCAAGGUUUUGGCGUAUGCUUCAGUUUUUUUGACUCGAGUUGCUAAGGUAUUUGCAGCAUCUCCUGAUCAGCAGGACGAGCUUUGUACCCAUGGAUUGGUUAAAUAAUUUGAUUCUUUUAGUGUGUAAUUUUUUGAGAUUGUGACUUUUGCAAAUGAGCUUCUUCCUUGGUUGCCUAAUGGAACCAUAACUCUUCAUACGACUAAUAAUGUAAUUGAAUUACUUGAAUUAGCGAUGAUUUUGUUCAUCUUGCUCAAGGUCAAGUAUCAAAGGUCUCUAAUGUUCUUUUUUUUUUCUCUCCGUUAAAUUCUUUGAGCAAUAUAUCCUUUUAUGUUAUAAAUUAUUUUACUAAAGUUUAUUAUAGUCAAUUUUCUAUAUUUUGAACUGUAAGUUAUUCCUACCUUAUGUAGCUUAUACUAUAGCUGCCAAGGAGCUUGAUAAAAAGGCUAUUUAUCUAGGUAAACUAUUUAUUGUUGAGUGGUUAGAAACUAAAUGUAUGGAUACUCUUUGGAUGAAGAAGUUAUUCAACAUUUGUCUAGCGCACCUGUGUGCUGAUGAUCCACACAAAAAGAUGGAUCCAAGAUUGGGACUCUCUACAUCAAGCAUGGCAGUGCCAAGAAAAGAAAGAAAAAUAUAAAAGGAAUGAAGGGCCAGGUCAAUAUAAUAGCUUUAGGAGAUUUGGGAGUAUGGCAAGGAUGGGUUUUUUAAACUCUAUUUUGACAUAUGGCUUAAAAUCUGAUAGGAGAUUUGGCUCAAUUGCAUCCUCUCUGUUGUUGAUGACAUACAAUUAAUAACAAAGAAGUUGCGAGCAUUGUAUCUUCUCGAUGGUAUUGUGAAGAACAUUAGGCAGGUUCCAUUAAACACUUUUCGAACAAACUCCCCGAGGUUUUCUGUAAGACGUAUAGACAUGUUGAUUGUACCGUACAUUUAAUGGGACAUAUUUUCGGGACUUGGAAAGGAGUGUUUCCUCCUCAAACGCUACACUCAAUAGAGAAAGAACUCAGUUUACAAUUAGUUGGGAACGGAUCAACUUUAACUUCAAUCAAAAGCUCCAUUUUAGUUUGAUAUACGUUAGUAAUUAAACGUUAGUAUUAAUGUAUUUCAAUUAUUUGGUGUAC